rnacentral:rRNA from 1 species
CCUACGGGAGGCUGCAGUGGGGAAUAUUGGACAAUGGGGGGAACCCUGAUCCAGCCAUGCCGCGUGUGUGAAGAAGGCCCUCGGGUUGUAAAGCACUUUCAGUGAGGAAGAACGCCUGGUGGUUAAUACCCAUCAGGAAAGACAUCACUCACAGAAGAAGCACCGGCUAACUCCGUGCCAGCAGCCGCGGUAAUACGGAGGGUGCGAGCGUUAAUCGGAAUUACUGGGCGUAAAGCGCGCGUAGGUGGCUUGAUAAGCCGGUUGUGAAAGCCCCGGGCUCAACCUGGGAACGGCAUCCGGAACUGUCAAGCUAGAGUGCAGGAGAGGAAGGUAGAAUUCCCGGUGUAGCGGUGAAAUGCGUAGAGAUCGGGAGGAAUACCAGUGGCGAAGGCGGCCUUCUGGAAUGACACUGACACUGAGGUGCGAAAGCGUGGGUAGCAAACAGGAUUAGAUACCCCUGUAGUC